UUGCGUCGUAAGGCUCCGCCUUGUAUUGAGACGUUCCCUGAUCGGGAAGUCUCCAAACCCAUAGGCGUCGUCGUACCCGAACCGCAACAUAACGCGUCACUCGGAGCACGGCGACCGCCGACAACCGUCAU
rnacentral:misc_RNA from 1 species